GGAUAGAUGACAGAGUGGUCGAUUGUACCCAUUUUGAAUGUGGGCGUGCGCGAGCACCAUAGGUUCGAAUCCUAUUCUAUCCG